rnacentral:rRNA from 1 species
UACGGAGGGUGCAAGCGUUAUCCGGAAUCACUGGGUUUAAAGGGUGCGUAGGCGGUCUAAUAAGUCAGUCGUGAAAUCGCUGGGCUCAACCCAUGCAAUUGCGAUUGAUACUGUUAGACUUGAAUUGGGUUGAGGCUAGCGGAAUGCGACAUGUAGCGGUGAAAUGCUUAGAUAUGUCGCAGAACACCGAUUGCGAAGGCAGCUAGCUGGGCCUUUAUUGACGCUGAGGCACGAAAGCGUGGGGAGCAAACAGG